AGGAUGAACGCUGGCGGUGUGCCUAAUACAUGCAAGUCGAACGAGACCUUCGGGUCUAGUGGCGGACGGGUGAGUAACACGUUGGUACCUACCCCUAAGUGGGGAAUAACUGCCCGAAAGGGUGGCUAAUACCGCAUAAUCCCGCAAGGGUAAAGCAGUAAUGCGCUUAGGGAGGGGCCUGCGUCCCAUUAGCUUGUUGGUAGUGUAAUGGACUACCAAGGCGACGAUGGGUAGCUGGAUCGAGAGGUUGACCAGCCACACUGGGACUGAGAUACGGCCCAGACUCCUACGGGAGGCAGCAGUAAGGAAUCUUCCACAAUGGACGAAAGUCUGAUGGAGCAACACCGCGUGCAGGAUGACGGUCUUCGGAUUGUAAACUGCUUUUAUAUGGGAAGAUUAUGACGGUUACCAUAUGAAUAAGGACCGGACUAACUACGUGCCAGCAGCCGC
rnacentral:rRNA from 1 species